GACGAACGCUGGCGGCGUGCUUAACACAUGCAAGUCGAACGGAAAGGCCCUGCUUGCAGGGUACUCGAGUGGCGAACGGGUGAGUAACACGUGGGUGAUCUGCCCUGCACUUCGGGAUAAGCCUGGGAAACUGGGUCUAAUACCGGAUAGGAGCCAUUUUUAGUGUGAUGGUUGGAAAGUUUUUUCGGUGUAGGAUGAGCUCGCGGCCUAUCAGCUUGUUGGUGGGGUAAUGGCCUACCAAGGCGGCGACGGGUAGCCGGCCUGAGAGGGUGGACGGCCACAUUGGGACUGAGAUACGGCCCAGACUCCUACGGGAGGCAGCAGUGGGGAAUAUUGCACAAUGGGCACAAGCCUGAUGCAGCGACGCCGCGUGGGGGAUGACGGCCUUCGGGUUGUAAACUCCUUUCGCUAGGGACGAAGCUUUUUGUGACGGUACCUAGAUAAGAAGCACCGGCUAACUACGUG
rnacentral:rRNA from 1 species